AACGAACGCUGGCGGCGUGCCUAACACAUGCAAGUCGAGCGGGAAAGUUCCCUUCGGGGAGCGAGUACAGCGGCGAACGGGUGAGUAACACGUAGGUAACCUACCCUUGAGACUGGGAUAACCUGCCGAAAGGCGGGCUAAUACUGGAUAAGACCGUGAGGGCUGCGGCCCUUGGGGUAAAAAGGUGGCCUCUGCUUGCAAGCUACCGACUUGAGGAUGGGCCUGCGCGCCAUUAGCUAGNGGUGAGGUAACGGCUCACCAAGGCUGGGAUGGCUAGCUGGUCUGAGAGGAUGGCCAGCCACACUGGGACUGAGACACGGCCCAGACUCCUACGGGAGGCAGCAGUGGGGAAUAUUGCGCAAUGGGCGAAAGCCUGACGCAGCGACGCCGCGUGGGUGAUGAAGGCCU
rnacentral:rRNA from 1 species